GGUGUACUCCCUCCGUCUGGAAAUACUUGUCGGAGGAAUAGAUGUAUCUAGACGUAUUUUAGUUGUAAAUACAUCCAUUUCUAUGCAUUUCUCCGACAAGCAUUUCCGGACGGAGGGAGUACGUA
rnacentral:pre_miRNA from 1 species